AUUGAACGCUGGCGGCAUGCCUUACACAUGCAAGUCGAACGGCAGCACGGGAGCAAUCCUGGUGGCGAGUGGCGAACGGGUGAGUAAUGUAUCGGAACGUACCUUUCAGUGGGGGAUAACGUAGCGAAAGUUACGCUAAUACCGCAUAUUCUGUGAGCAGGAAAGCAGGGGAUCGCAAGACCCUGCGCUGAUUGAGCGGCCGAUAUCAGAUUAGCUAGUUGGUGAGGUAAAGGCUCACCAAGGCGACGAUCUGUAGCGGGUCUGAGAGGAUGAUCCGCCACACUGGAACUGAGACACGGUCCAGACUCCUACGGGAGGCAGCAGUGGGGAAUUUUGGACAAUGGGCGCAAGCCUGAUCCAGCCAUGCCGCGUGAGUGAAGAAGGCC
rnacentral:rRNA from 1 species